AGUGGUAGUUCAGUUGGUUAGAAUACCGGCCUGUCACGCCGGGGGUCGCGGGUUCGAGUCCCGUCCACUG
rnacentral:tRNA from 2 species